rnacentral:rRNA from 1 species
AAAGUGGAGCAAUCCAUGAGUAAAGUGGCGCACGGGUGAGUAACACGUGACUAACCUACCCUUGAGUGGGGAAUAACCUCGGGAAACCGGGGCUAAUACCGCAUAACACCUUCGGGUCAAAGGAGCAAUUCGCUUAAGGAGGGGGUCGCGGCUGAUUAGCUAGUUGGUGGGGUAAUGGCCUACCAAGGCAAUGAUCAGUAUCCGGCCUGAGAGGGCGCACGGACACACUGGAACUGAAACACGGUCCAGACUCCUACGGGAGGCAGCAGUGGGGAAUUUUGCACAAUGGGGGAAACCCUGAUGCAGCAACGCCGCGUGGAGGAUGAAGUCCCUUGGGAUGUAAACUCCUUUCGACCGGGACGAUAAUGACGGUACCGGUGGAAGAAGCCCCGGCUAACUCUGUGCCAGCAGCCGCGGUAAUACAGAGGGGGCAAGCGUUGUUCGGAAUUAUUGGGCGUAAAGGGUGCGUAGGCGGUGCGGUAAGUCUUCUGUGAAAUCUCCGGGCUCAACUCGGAGCCUGCAGGAGAAACUGCCGUGCUUGAGUAUGGGAGAGGUGAGUGGAAUUCCUGGUGUAGCGGUGAAAUGCGUAGAUAUCAGGAGGAACACCUGUGGCGAAAGCGGCUCACUGGACCAUAACUGACGCUGAGGCACGAAAGCUAGGGGAGCAAACAGGAUUAGAUACCCUGGUAGUCCUAGCCCUAAACGAUGAUUGCUUGGUGUAGCAGGUACCCAAUCCUGCUGUGCCGCAGCUAACGCGUUAAGCAAUCCGCCUGGGGAGUACGGUCGCAAGGCUGAAACUC